rnacentral:rRNA from 1 species
GAUGAACGCUGGCGGCGUGCCUAAUACAUGCAAGUCGAGCGGACGGACGCGAAGCUUGCUUUUCUGAUGUUAGCGGCGGACGGGUGAGUAACACGUGGAUAACCUACCUAUAUGACUGGGAUAACUUCGGGAAACCGGAGCUAAUCCCGGAUAAUCUUUUGCUCCGUAUGGGUCAAUGGUAAAAGACGGCCUUGCUGUCACUACUAGCUGGAUCCGCGCUGGAUUGGCUAGUUGGUAGGGUAACGGCUUACGAAGGCAGCGAUGCCUGGCCGACCGGAGAGGGUGAUAGGCCACAUGGGAGCGGAGACACGGUCAAGACGCCUGAGGGAGGCAGCAGUAGGGAAUCUGACGCAAUGGGCGAAAGCCUGACGGAGCAACGCCGCGUGAGUUAUGAAGGUCUUCGGAUCGUAAAACUCUGUUAUUAGGGAAGAACAGAUGUGGAAGUAACUGUGCACAUCGUGACGGUACCGAAUCAGAAAGCCACGGCUAACUACGUG